rnacentral:lncRNA from 1 species
GUGAUCUCAUCAUCGAGAUCAUCGAAACUCCUUUCGAUGGAUCAGAACUCUUCUGAUUCAGACAAUUAGAAUGAUCGAUCAUUAUGAUCAUUCUAAUUGCUCCCAAAAUUCACCAGUGACACCUAGCAGUAUAUGGUGGCAACCCCUCAGAAUUGAAGAUGAACCUCUCGGUGCAGCAACCUAUAUGAUUGAAUUCCUCUAUCACGAGUUCCAACUGAAUUAGGGUUAAAGUGAACUCGUCAAACCCAACAUCAGUCAUAUGAAUCAAUCGAUCGAUCCGAGUCCGAUGUGAAACCCCAAUGAAAAACUUUUUUUCAUUAUUUCAUUCUGCCAUGGCCAUGGGCUUAAGGACUAGAUCUAUACUUGAAUAACUAGGAUAUCAUCAUGAUUUUUUUUAUAACAAGAGUAGUAUCUAUAUUUUUUCUUGAAAAAUUAUUAUCUAGCAAAAAUUUAUCAAGUCUUUCAUACCAUGCUCUAGGUGCUUGUUUUAAAUGAU